rnacentral:rRNA from 1 species
UGUGUAGGCGGCUUUCUAAGUUUGGUGUGAAAUCUCCCGGCUCAACCGGGAGGGUGCGCCGAAAACUGGGAGGCUAGAGUGCGGGAAGGGAGAGUAGAAUUCCUGGUGUAGCGGUGAAAUGCGUAGAUAUCAGGAGGAAUACCGGUGGUGCAGACGGCUCUCUGGACCGCAACUGACGCUGAGACACGAAAGCGUGGGUAGCAAACAGGAUUAGAUACCCUGGUAGUCCACGCCCUAAACGAUGCAUAUUUGGUGUAGGUCAUUCAGUUGAUCUGUGCCGGAGCUAACGCGUUAAAUAUGCCGCCUGGGGAGUACAGUCGCAAGGCUGAA